rnacentral:rRNA from 1 species
GCGGCAACAGCUCAAAUUUGAAAUCUGGCGCAAGCCCGAGUUGUAAUUUGUAGAGGAUGCUUCUGGGUAGCGACCGAUCUAAGUUCCUUGGAACAGGACGUCAUAGAGGGUGAGAAUCCCGUAUGUGACCGGCCCGCACCCUUUACGUAGCUCCUUCGACGAGUCGAGUUGUUUGGGAAUGCAGCUCUAAAUGGGAGGUAAAUUUCUUCUAAAGCUAAAUACCGGCCAGAGACCGAUAGCGCACAAGUAGAGUGAUCGAAAGAUGAAAAGUACUUUGGAAAGAGAGUUAAAAAGCACGUGAAAUUGUUGAAAGGGAAGCGCCUGCAACCAGACUUCGCGGCAGUGUUCCGCCGGUCUUCUGACCGGUUCAUUCUCUGUCGCGAGGCCAUCAUCGUCUGGGCCCGCCGGAUAAGACCUUAGGAAUGUAGCUCACCUUCGGGGGAGUGUUAUAGCCUAUGGUGAUGCGGCGAGGCUCGGGCGAGGUCCGCGCUUCGGCAAGGAUGAUGGCGUAAUGGUUGUCGGCGGCCCGUCUUGAAACACGGACCAAGGAGUCUAACAUCUAUGCGAGUGUUCGGGUGUCAAACCCCUACGCGUAAUGAAAGUGAACGGAGGUGGGAACCGCAAGGUGCACCAUCGACCGAUCCUGAUGUCCUCGGAUGGAUUUGAGUAAGAGCAUAGCUGUUGGGACCCGAAAGAUGGUGAACUAUGCCUGAAUAGGGUGAAGCCAGAGGAAACUCUGGUGGAGGCUCGCAGCGGUUCUGACGUGCAAAUCGAUCGUCAAAUUUGGGUAUAGGG